GAUCAUGGCUCAGGAUGAACGCUAGCUACAGGCUUAACACAUGCAAGUCGAGGGGAAACGACAUCGAAAGCUUGCUUUUGGUGGGCGUCGACCGGCGCACGGGUGAGUAACGCGUAUCCAACCUGCCCACCACUUGGGGAUAACCUUGCGAAAGUAAGACUAAUACCCAAUGAUAUCUCUAGAAGACAUCUGAAAGAGAUUAAAGAUUUAUCGGUGAUGGAUGGGGAUGCGUCUGAUUAGCUUGUUGGCGGGGUAACGGCCCACCAAGGCGACGAUCAGUAGGGGUUCUGAGAGGAAGGUCCCCCACAUUGGAACUGAGACACGGUCCAAACUCCUACGGGAGGCAGCAGUGAGGAAUAUUGGUCAAUGGACGAGAGUCUGAACCAGCCAAGUAGCGUGCAGGAUGACGGCCCUAUGGGUUGUAAACUGCUUUUAUAAGGGAAUAAAGUGAGUCUCGUGAGACUUUUUGCAUGUACCUUAUGAAUAAGGACCGGCUAAUUCCGUG
rnacentral:rRNA from 1 species